CAAUGGCGUAUAUUAAAGUUGUUGCAGUUAAAAAGCUCGUAGUUGGAUUUCUGGUAGGAGUGACCGUUCCGAACUUGAUUGUUCGUGUAUUGUGUUUUCUCCAGCCAUCCUUGUGGAGAACUUUUCUUGCAUUAAUUUGUAGGGAUUGGGACCCGCAUCGUUUACUGUGAAAAAAUUAGAGUGUUUAAAGCAGGCAAUCGCUUGAAUACAUUAGCAUGGAAUAAUAAGAUAGGACUUUGGUACUAUUUUGUUGGUUUGCAUACCAAAUUAAUGAUCAACAGGAACAGUUUGAGGAUAUUCGUAUGAACAUGUCAGAGGUGAAAUUCUUGGAUUUUGAUCAGACGAACUACUGCGAAAGCAUUUAUCAAGGAUGUUUUCAUUAA
rnacentral:rRNA from 1 species